rnacentral:lncRNA from 1 species
GUAGCAUGAUUCAGUUUGACAACUGAGAAUGCACUGUAGGCAUUGGAGUGAGGAGCAAAACGGGACAGAUCGGGACUCCUGAAAUGUUCAGUUUGGGUGCAUGGCAGGAGAUGAUACAUCUGUGGAGACCAGAACACAUGAGCCUGGGAUAUCAGGCCUAUUCUCAAGUGUUAUGGGGAACCACUGAAGAGUUCUAAGCAGACGAGUGAGUGACAGGGAGGCUUUAGAAAAAUUUUUCUGACAGCCAAGUGAAAUGAUUGGAGGGCUCUCCAAUGCUGUGGCUCUAAAGUAACUAUGCUUAUCUCCAGCUACUGGGGAUUUCUAAGUUGGGUCCCUAUGCCUGGAAUGUCCUCCUGUUCAUCUGGGCACAAAUACAAUAAACACCUGUCUCCACUGCAUUUAUCCGCCCCAGGUAUUGUGACAGCAUACACCCUCUUCUUUCCUCAUUUUGGCUAAUGCCAUUCAACUUGCUUCAGGGAACUUUUCCCAGCCAGGUACAAUGUAGGUGAGUGUACGUACAUGGACUGGUCCUUGAGCGUUGCUGAAGUCUGUCUGGGGACUCUGUGAUCAUUUGCUUUGGCAUGCUAUGAGUUCAGCAUGGUCUGUCAUUCAGGCAACCACCCAUUCAAACCUGUGCAUUUGUGCCCUCCCCACCCUGCCCAAGCCCCUCACCAUGGGAGAUGAUUUCCAAGUCCAGAUGAACUUCACAGUGUACCUUCUUAUCAGAGGUGGUAGUACAUAGGAAAGCUACAAUCCUGCUAGGGGGUGCUGUCGACUCAUUAGCAGACACAAAUAACCAAAAGCAGAAAUUUUA